GGGCACCACCAGGAGUGGAGCCUGCGGCUUAAUUUGACUCAACACGGGAAAACCCACCCGGCCCAGACACUAGGAGGAUUGACUGACUGACUAGCUCUUUCUUGAUUCAGUGGGUGGUGGUGCAUGGCCGUUCUUAGUUGGUGGAGCGAUUUGUCUGGUUAAUUCCGAUAACGAACGAGACUCUGGCCUAUUAAAUAGACGGUAUAUCGAAAAGUAUAUCGCGCUUCUUAGAGGGACAAGCGGCGUCUAGCCGCAUGAAAUAGAGCAAUAACAGGUCUGUGAUGCCCUUAGAUGUCCGGGGCUGCACGCGCGCUACACUGAAAGAAUCAGAGUGCGCCGAUACCUAGUUCGGAAGAACCGGGUAACCCAAGUAAAUUCUUUCGUGCUUGGGAUAGGGAAUUGCAAUUAUUUCCCUUAAACGAGGAAUUCCCAGUAAAUGCGGGUCAUAAGCUCGCGUUGAUUACGUCCCUGCCCUUUGUACACACCGCCCGUCGCUACUACCGAUUGGAUGACUUAGUG
rnacentral:rRNA from 1 species